AGGAGGAGGAGGAGGAGGAGGAAAAGGAAAAGGAAAAGGAAAAGGAGGAGAAGAAGAAGACAAUGAAGAAAAAGGAGAAGGAAAGGGAGGGGGGAGCGGAAGAAGAACGCCAGCAACAAAAUGCCAGAAUGGUGAGUAAAGGGAAUUGGCAGCACCACAUCCACUAAGGUA